rnacentral:tRNA from 1 species
CCUUCGAUAGCUCAGCUGGUAGAGCGGAGGACUGUAGAGUAUCUCAUGAGUCAUCCUUAGGUCGCUGGUUCGACUCCGGCUCGAAGGA